rnacentral:rRNA from 1 species
UACGUAGGGUGCAAGCGUUGUCCGGAAUUAUUGGGCGUAAAGAGCUCGUAGGCGGUCUGUCGCGUCGAAUGUGAAAACCCGGGACUCAACUCCGGGCCUGCAUUCGAUACGGGCAGACUAGAGUUCGGUAGGGGAGACUGGAAUUCCUGGUGUAGCGGUGAAAUGCGCAGAUAUCAGGAGGAACACCGGUGGCGAAAGCGGCUUACUGGGUCUCUUCUGACGCUGAGGAACGAAAGCUAGGGUAGCGAACGGG